rnacentral:lncRNA from 1 species
AGUCUGUCGGGAUAUCCAACACCAACAGAUAUUCUGAUGGCAAAUCAAAUGGAAGGCAAGAGGAAGCAUGACCACAGAUUGGAUCUGAACUCUUUGUGGAUUACAUUUUCAGUAAAAUGUAUGGAUCUAUCUUUUCCUUGUUCUUAUAUCUAGAUCAUGAGACUUGACUGAGGCUGUUUCCUUAUCCUCCAUCCAUCUAUGGCGAACUAUAGCCAUGCAGCUGACAACAUUUUGCAAAAUCUCUCGCCUCUAACAGCCUUUCUGAAACUGACUUCCUUGGGUUUCAUAAUAGGAGUCAGUGUGGUGGGCAACCUUCUGAUCUCCAUUUUGCUAGUGAAAGAUAAGACCUUGCAUAGAGCUCCUUACUACUUCCUGCUGGAUCUGUGCUGCUCAGACAUCCUCAGAUCUGCAAUUUGUUUUCCAUUUGUAUUCAACUCUGUCAAAAAUGGCUCUACCUGGACUUACGGGACUCUGACUUGCAAAGUGAUUGCCUUUCUGGGGGUUUUGUCCUGUUUCCACACUGCCUUCAUGCUCUUCUGCAUCAGCGUCACCAGAUACUUAGCCAUCGCCCAUCACCGCUUCUAUACAAAGAGGCUGACCUUUUGGACGUGUUUGGCUGUGAUCUGCAUGGUGUGGACUCUGUCUGUGGCCAUGGCAUUUCCC